CAGGCUUAACACAUGCAAGUCGAGCGGGGAAAGGUAGCUUGCUACCUUACCUAGGCGGACGGGUGAGUAAUGCUUAGGAAUCUGCCUAUUAGUGGGGGACAACAUCUCGAAAGGGAUGCUAAUACCGCAUACGUCCUACGGGAGAAAGCAGGGGACCUUCGGGCCUUGCGCUAAUAGAUGAGCCUAAGUCGGAUUAGCUAGUUGGUGGGGUAAAGGCCUACCAAGGCGACGAUCUGUAGCGGGUCUGAGAGGAUGAUCCGCCACACUGGGACUGAGACACGGCCCAGACUCCUACGGGAGGCAGCAGUGGGGAAUAUUGGACAAUGGGGGGAACCCUGAUCCAGCCAUGCCGCGUGUGUGAAGAAGGCCUUUUGGUUGUAAAGCACUUUAAGCGAGGAGGAGGCUACCGAGAUUAAUACUCUUGGAUAGUGGACGUUACUCGCAGAAUAAGCACCGGCUAACUCUGUGCCAGCAGCCGCGGUAAUACAGAGGGUGCAAGCGUUAAUCGGAUUUACGGGCGUAAAGCGCGCGUAGGUGGCCAAUUAAGUCAAAUGUGAAAUCCCCGAGCUUAACUUGGGAAUUGCAUUCGAUACUGGUUGGCUAGAGUAUGGGAGAGGAUGGUAGAAUUCCAGGUGUAGCGGUGAAAUGCGUAGAGAUCUGGAGGAAUACCGAUGGCGAAGGCAGCCAUCUGGCCUAAUACUGACACUGAGGUGCGAAAGCAUGGGGAGCAAACAGGAUUAGAUACCCUGGUAGUCCAUGCCGUAAACGAUGUCUACUAGCCGUUGGGGCCUUUGAGGCUUUAGUGGCGCAGCUAACGCGA
rnacentral:rRNA from 1 species